GACGUAGGGCGCGAGCGUUGUCCGGAAUUACUGGGCGUAAAGCGCACGUAGGCGGUCAGGCAAGUCGGGUGUGAAAGCCCUGGGCUCAACCUGGGAAUUGCAUUCGAAACUAUCUGACUCGAGUAUGGGAGAGGGAAGCGGAAUUUCCGGUGUAGCGGUGAAAUGCGUAGAUAUCGGAAGGAACACCUGCGGCGAAGGCGGCUUCCUGGCCCAUUACUGACGUUCAGGUACGAAAGCGUGGGUAGCAAACAGG
rnacentral:rRNA from 1 species